UGCAGUCGAACGGCAGCACGGGGGCAACCCUGGUGGCGAGUGGCGAACGGGUGAGUAACAUAUCGGAACGUGCCCUGGAGUGGGGGAUAACUAGUCGAAAGACUAGCUAAUACCGCAUACGAUCUACGGAUGAAAGUGGGGGAUCGCAAGACCUCAUGCUCGUGGAGCGGCCGAUAUCUGAUUAGCUAGUUGGUGGGGUAAAGGCCUACCAAGGCAUCGAUCAGUAGCUGGUCUGAGAGGACGACCAGCCACACUGGGACUGAGACACGGCCCAGACUCCUACGGGAGGCAGCAGUGGGGAAUUUUGGACAAUGGGCGCAAGCCUGAUCCAGCAAUGCCGCGUGAGUGAAGAAGGCCUUCGGGUUGUAAAGCUCUUUUGUCAGGGAAGAAACGGUGGGGGCUAAUACCUUCUGCUAAUGACGGUACCUGAAGAAUAAGCACCGGCUAACUACGUGCCAGCA
rnacentral:rRNA from 1 species